rnacentral:rRNA from 1 species
UACGUAGGUGGCAAGCGUUGUCCGGAUUUACUGGGCGUAAAGAGCGCGCAGGCGGUCGUUCAAGUCGCGUGUGAAAGCCCCCGGCUCAACUGGGGAGGGUCACGCGAUACUGAUCGACUCGAAGGCAGGAGAGGGUAGUGGAAUUCCCGGUGUAGUGGUGAAAUGCGUAGAUAUCUGGAGGAACACCGGUGGCGAAGGCGACGUCCUGGACCGGCAUUGACGCUGAGGCGCGAAAGCCAGGGGAGCAAACGGG